GGGGGAGGCACUGCACUGAACAGUGCCUCCUCCCCCAGCAAGUUAGAUACAUAGCUCGGAGUCUUUUGAGUCAGAAAUUGUACAAACUGCAACUGGAUGAAUUGGUAGCACCAAGACUUUAAACUGUUGAGUACUUGAACCAAUGAUACUCACGUAGUGAUUGUUCUUUGUUGUCCUCUAGAGAGCAUAAGAAUAGUAUAAAACCCAAAUAGACCAGCUUGUUCAAUGUAAACUACCAUCCCUAUUACAGAUUAUGGAAGAGCUGUUGGGAAGGUUCACUUGAGUUAAAGAACAAGCUGUGGUAUUGGUGGCCACAUUGAGAGGCCUUUUUUGGUACUGUUCUUUCUUUCUGAAUGUGUUUGGUUUCAUCUCGCUUGUCAAACAGUGCCUCCAAUAUUCAUUAAUGGCCAGUUAUAUAAUAAAUAACUUACAAUAUGCAUUAUUUUUUUCCCUACUCUUCAUCCCCUUCUCCCCACCCAUCUUUCCCAGAAGAAAAAAAAAAAAGAGCAGGCUCUCCUGUCAGUUCACUUGUGCCAGUGUUACAAGGAAAGGGAGAUGUGCAAGCUUAUUUCUAUUUUUUUAAGUAGUAAGUGUACUUUUGUCCUGUGCAGUAGUUUUUAAAAUAGGCACAGAAUGUUUUUUGUGCAGUUUCUAAAAGGGCAUGGCAUUUUUAGCAGAAUUUGGUGGCUGCCCACCUGAGGUUCUAUAAGCUGUUUGAAAUUAUAUUUUGGAUACAAUCUCGAUAUUUUCAUAUUGAUCACUUCAGAGAGUUUUGAUGUAUAUGCAAAGUAUGGUUACUUAAACUAAAAGAAUCUGCUAUUUGGAAAAACCUAGUUAUUUAAUAGCAGUGCUGAGCAAACAUAAACACCAUUUCUGGCAAUGUCUGCACGUCUCACCACAAAGAGUGAUGGUGAAUAAGAACCAAUGUGGUGUCCUAGCUUAAGAAUAGCUCAUUAAAAAUAAAAAUACGAUAUUUGGGUAUAGAACAGUUCAUGAAUCAGUUUGAAGGGCUCUGAGUGAGGAAAGAGGAUGGAUGCUCUAUAGAAGUUCUGAAAUCUAGGCACUCCGUUUCACUCUUAAAACCUCAGUACUGUGAGCCCUGGCAUGUUUGUGGUGGUUUAUGCUGGUAUCAGUAAAACUCCAGCAGGGAGGAAUUUGGCAGUGUGCAUGUGGGGAAGGCUUGCCGUGAAUGGUUAAAGAUUGUUCUUGAGAUAACAGUGUGGCUUGGAGUAGGGAGCUGAGAAGUCAUUUCAGGACUCAGCCAUGCUGGGAGCUCCAAGGGAACAGUCCAGUCUUACCAGAGUUUUCCUGCAUAGCGUCCAGUGGUGAUGUUAAGCAUUUUCUUUAUUGGACUUUGAUUUCACAGUUUCGAAUAAACCAGCUUUCUAACU
rnacentral:lncRNA from 1 species